AUAUCCUCUGGAUACAAUCGAUCGCAUCCACAUCACGGGACGCUCUCCGUAUUUGUACUGCAUUUCGCUGAAUUAAUUAGUCAACUUACAGGUAGACCUGGAGAACACACGCGCCAAUUACCUGCCGUCAAGCCGGGACUUUUAACCAUGUCGUGAUUACCAGGAAUGGAUUCCCUAAGUCUUCUUCGUCUCGGCUAUAUUUGGGUUGCUCUGUCAACUUUUCAAAUUUUUACCGCCAACGCUAGCAACGACACAGCGACUCCACCGGAGGACAAGCCGUUUUUAGAGAGCGAUGCCUUCAUCGGGCUGGCGAUCGGCGUGGGAGCGGUGGGAGGGACCCUUAUACUGUGCUGCAUUUUAUGGAAAUGUUUUUGCGCUGACGUCGAUAAAUGAGGGUACCGAUGCGAAUUUUUUCCCCGUCUAUACAAAGGGAAACAACCCACAUUUGUAAUAAAGCAUGGACAUUGGUAACCAUUUGCUAUCUUUUUUGUACUGCUGAAGACAAUCUGUGAUGUGGCGUAUUGUGUGUGUGGCUUGCACGACUCGUGGAUUUUGUUUCCAGAUUGACCAAUUUCCUGUGUUUUGAAAUAUAUCACUCUCCUCUGUAGAAAUGUCAAGGUUCUGUUUCAGUCCAACUGAAUUUUUUUUUUAAAUUUAUGUAUUUAUUUAUUUUUACGAUUUUCAUCUCACUGUAAUGAAUAUUUAUUUUAUAUUAGAUAUAAUAAUUUGUUUUGUCUUUUUCAAAGAAUUCAAUUACACGAAACCAAACGACUCAAUUAUCAGCAAAAUUAUGAGAAAAUAUCUACAUGUCCAAUUCCAAUGUUUUUGUCUUUGGUAUUUUAUCUUUGCAUAUUGUAGUGAUAGUCAUUACCCCAUGGAUGUGCUGCAGCUGUAAACAGUGUGCGUAUGAAUUUUAAUAAAUAUCGAAUAACGAUUGCGAAUUCCGAAUUCCGACAGAAUAGAUUUUCAUUUCUUAAAUAAAACAGGUAUUUAGAUGUUUAAAAAACCCAAUAUUUAUUAGUUAUUAUUUGUGUCGAAAACAUUUAGAAAAGUUUAAUUUUUGAAAAUUGGCAACUCCUGUAAUGUAAUUUUAAUGAAUGAUAGCAUUGAUGUUGGACCAGUUGAAAGCUAUUUUCGUUUAAGCGGUAUUUUGAUGAAGACAAUUAACUUAGAUACAAUAUCCUGAUGUUUUGGAAGGGGUUGUGAACUAGUUUAAAAACCAACACGGUUGACAUAGAAAGAAUCUGAAAUGAAUUAUUUACGAUCUAUCAAUACACAUUUAUAAUGAAAAAGAAUAAUUCUGCAAAUGGACUUUCAGUUUGCCUGAAACACUAUAAUAUAAAUACUUUGUUUGAAAAGGAACAGUCGCAUUGUGAUAGCAUACCAGGUACAUGCACAUGUAUGUAGGUGAAACAUGUAUGCCGCUGGCGGCAACCUGAAUUGUACAAUAAUAUUGUAAUAUUACUCGCUUUUACGGAUAUUUCUAUCGAUGUGUGCAAGCAGUACCGAUUUCCUCUAACUUUGUUUUUAAUGCAGUGCUUGAGCCGCUACAUGUACACAAUGUUUGGGAUGUAGGGCUGUGGAUUCUAUUUUCAGUUAGAAUUAACUUUAUUUGUGUCAUUUUCCGACAAACAAUAGCGAAUCAUUUUGGGAUGAAUUGAAUACUUACAAUUGAUUCCCUUCGUAUGUCAUUGAUUUCUAUUCCUAUUUUUAUAUUUAUUUGUUGUCAUUAAAAAUAAAUUUGAAAAACAAAUAA